UACGGGGGGGGCAAGCGUUGUUCGGAAUUACUGGGCGUAAAGGGCUCGUAGGUGGCCAACUAAGUCAGACGUGAAAUCCCUCGGCUUAACCGGGGAACUGCGUCUGAUACUGGAUGGCUUGAGGUUGGGAGAGGGAUGCGGAAUUCCAGGUGUAGCGGUGAAAUGCGCAGAUAUCAGGAGGAACACCGGUGGCGAAGGCGGUUCUCUGGGCAUGAUCUGACGCUGAGGAGCGAAAGUGUGGGGAGCGAACAGG
rnacentral:rRNA from 1 species